UACGAAGGGGGCUAGCGUUGUUCGGAAUUACUGGGCGUAAAGCGCGCGCAGGCGGUCUUCCAAGUCAGUGGUGAAAGCCCGGAGCUCAAUCUCCGACUCGCAUUGAAACUGUAAGACUUGAGGAUGAGAGAGGUGAGUGGAAUUCCCAGUGUAGAGGUGAAAUUCGUAGAUAUUGGGAAGAACACCGGUGGCGAAGGCGGCUCACUGGCUCAUAUCUGACGCUCAGGCGCGACAGCGUGGGGAUCAAACAGG
rnacentral:rRNA from 1 species